rnacentral:rRNA from 1 species
GACGAACGCUGGCGGCGUGCCUAAUACAUGCAAGUUGAGCGCUGAAGGUUGGUACUUGUACCAACUGGAUGAGCAGCGAACGGGUGAGUAACGCGUGGGGAAUCUGCCUUUGAGCGGGGGACAACAUUUGGAAACGAAUGCUAAUACCGCAUAAAAACUUUAAACACAAGUUUUAAGUUUGAAAGAUGCAAUUGCAUCACUAAAAGAUGAUCCCGCGUUGUAUUAGCUAGUUGGUGAGGUAAAGGCUCAACAAGGCGAUGAUACAUAGCCGACCUGAGAGGGUGGUCGGCCACCAUGGGAAUGGGACACGGCCCAAGCUCCUACGGGGGGCAGCAGUAGGGAAUCAUCGGAAAUGGACGAAAGUCUGACCGCGCAACGACGCGGGAGUGAAGAAGGGUCUCGGAUCGUAAAACUCUGUUGGUAGAGAAGAAAGUUGGUGAGAGUGGAAAGCUCAUCAAGUGACGGUAACUACACAGAAAGGGACGGCUAACUACGUG